UACGUAGGGUGCAAGCGUUAAUCGGAAUUACUGGGCGUAAAGCGUGCGCAGGCGGCGUUUGAAGUCCGGUGUGAAAUCCCCGGGCUUAACCUGGGAACUGCAUUGGUGACUGGCAGGCUUUGAGUGUGGCAGAGGGAGGUAGAAUUCCACGUGUAGCAGUGAAAUGCGUAGAGAUGUGGAGGAAUACCGAUGGCGAAGGCAGCCUCCUGGGCCAACACUGACGCUCAUGCACGAAAGCGUGGGGAGCAAACAGG
rnacentral:rRNA from 1 species